UAGGCUAUAAAUCUUAUCGAAGGUCCC
rnacentral:piRNA from 1 species